UCUUUUAGAAUAAAACCUAGGUACAGGGUACUAUUCUGCCUCGUCUGUCACUGCUUCUUGUGCUCUUUAGAGAUCUUAGGGUUUAGGGUUUUUGUCUCUUACUAUUACGUCAUUCAAUGGGGCAUCUCAUCAACAAAUUUAUACCAGCACCAUAAAAAACCCAGUAACUCUCUCUCUGUCCCCGUUUUCUUGCCGAGAAGCUUUAGGAAAGAAAAUUUACAGAAAACAACAUUUCGAAACAUUACGCUUCUUUAUCGCCCUAAAUAUGUUGUUAAUAUAUUAUUGUGGCUUUUAGACUUGUUUAUUUGUUUGAAAUUGUUUCCCAAAGUCGCGAACUUGUAGAAAUGGCGGCGGAUUUGGCAGGAAAGCUCGAGGCGGAGAAUCCCUGCUGUAAAGCGUGGAGGGAGAAAUACUCGAAUCUUGAAAAGAAGAGGUAUGCGCUGCGGCAAGCGGUGAACAUCCUUACACCACAAAUCGAUGCAUUUCAAUCUGAGAAUGCCAAUCUCAAGAAAGCAUUUGAGGAGGAGCAAGCACGAGCAGACAAUGAGAAAGAGGGGCGGGUAAAAGAAUCUAUAGCUAGAGUAUCUUUGGAGAAUGAAAUCACUGUUUUGAAAUCUGAGAUCUCUCAAGUAAAGCAGAAAGCAAGCUUAAAUACUGUAGAUAGAGAUGAAAAAGUGAGGCUUCUUCAAGAUUGCAUUUCUGAAAGGGAAAAAGAAAUCAAUCGGCUGGAGGAUCUUCUUGAGAAAGAGAAAAAAAGGGCAGAUACCGAAAGGAAGAAUGCUGAGGGGGAUAAAAAGAAAGCUGCAGAAAUGUUCAAAUCUUUAAAAGCCGAGAAGGAUGAAGAAAGAAGGAUUGCCAGAACUGGAGGAGAGAAGGCUGAGCAGUACAGGCUUCAGCUGGAGAUUUUGAAGAAAGAGGCUGAUGAAGCAAAGUCAAAGUUAGCCGCUGAAACAAUGAAGUUUGAACAAGCAAACAAAAGACUUGGAGAAGAAAGAAAGAAGGCUCUCAAAGAGAGAAAACGUGCAGAUUUGGAGAUGGCCAAAGCAGAGGAGCAAAGAAAGCUUGCAGAAGCUAAUGGGAAGAAGGCUGUUGAAGAGAAAUGUCGUGCUGAUAACUUGUAUCGGCAGUUGGAAGAGAAUAGACAAAAGGUAGAGGAGUUACAGGGGAUACAUGAGUUUCAAAAUUUGGCUUUUCUUGGUGGCCGGGCUGAUAAGAAGUUGAAUCCCAAAUCUGUUAAAACGAAGAACAGGCUUCAGUGCGAGAUAUUAAACAGAAAAGUGGAUGAACACAAAUCGGUUUUGGAGCUCUUGAAAGAGUCAAACAAAAUGUUUGAGGUUGAAAACCAGAAGGCAAUUAAGGAGAAAAAACUUGCAGAUUCAGAGAUGGCAAAAGCAGAAGAGCAGAAAAAUCUUGCAGAAGUGAAUUGGAAAAAGGCCAUGCAAGAAAAAUGUCGUGCUGAUCAGUUGUCUCAACAGUUACAAGAAAACAGAAAAACUAUUGAGGAAUUGCAGAAGAAGAUACAUGAACUUCAGCUCUCUAGAAAGUUGGUUGAGAGAUCUACUGUAGCACCAGUUAAAACUGUCACUUCUGAAAAUGCAAAUGUGAAGCUUUUGAAAAAAGAACUGAAGUUUGAGAAAAAGCAAGCAAAGCAUACCAAAAGAGUGGCCAAGUUGGAAAAAAGUCAUAACCGCGUCCUUCAACACGAACUUGGUCACUUGAAGCUGGAGUUUGAUCAAUUAGCAAAUCGCUUGGAUAUACUGAAUAAGUCAUUAUCACCUAGUGCCGAAGGUAUAGAUGACCCAAAAAAGAAUGUGUCGAUUGCAUACAUGCAAAGGUUAAACAUGAUGAAGAAACUCUGCAGUUUGGAACCAACUCGGGCACACCUUCAAAGUGAAAAUGAACUUGUGAGACCUAGUUGCAUGGAUAUGGAUGUCUCAUAUUCUCUCAGGCAAAGCCUCCAACAUCCUGCACAAUUGCUACCUAUAUCUGGAGGAAAUUUUGAUGAGUCCAUUUCAGGUAUUAAUUCUAAAUUGGAGUCUCCGCUUGGAUGCUCUUACUGGAAAAUGUUACAGACUUCUGCAAUAAAUUCUAGUAUGGCAUCUUUUUCUGAUGGACAGUUGAUGGGCUCACAGGAGAAGGGUGCUUUUUCUGGUACUACAUCCACAAAAUUAGUUGAUGAGAACUUGAAUGCACAACCAACAAUAUCCAACUUGUCUGGCGAAGAUACUAAAUUAAGGUGCUGUGAAAAAUCUGCAGUGGUGGGUGAAAAUAAUGUCAAAAUUGCUGAUAGCAAUGAUGUUGGCAGAGGUGAUGAUCGUAGUAGGAAGAGAAAGUGGUUAUUUGAUUCUGCUGAGCCCAUUGAAUAUUUGUAUUCCAAGGGUAAGAAGUUGUGUGUGCAGAUAGAAGAGAAUCUAUCUUUGUUGCAUGGUAUGUUAGACAGACGAAUAGGCAAUCCCUCUGAAGAAGUAAGAUGUCUGGCUCCUAAUCUGCAAUGCAUUCCACAUGGUAAGCUUGAUGGGUUGCACAAAAAGAGCAAGGUAUCUCCUGAAGAGGUACAUGAGAAGCAUUUUUGUGUCAGUGACGAGCAAAAGAAGACAGAAAAAUCUGGAACUCAAGUCUUGGAGGAUUCAAGUGAUCUUGAAAUGAUGGCGAGUUUUGAGGAUGUAGCUAAUGGUGACUACAUGAAACUGCUGGACUUGGAUGAUGCUGCUGACGAGCAACGUUACAGGAUGGCGACCGAAAGGCCUGUGUCACCAAGUCUUCCUAUUAUUGACUUUAAUAACAGGCAAAUAUUUGAUGCGGAUAGUUCUGAAGCUUUAGUAGUGGAAUGGGUCUAUAAAGAGGUAUCGACUGAUGAAGAAAAUAUGUUGCCUAAGCACAGCUUUGAUGUAAUUGAUAUUGAAAUUGAGUCCAAUAAGCUAAAACAUACUGCUGUAGGAACUUCCUGUAAUCUGUCACUGCGUAAGAAUGUAGACCCUGUUGAUUCCGUUGCUGUCAUUGGAAAUGGUUUCUGGACUGUAGAGGCAGGAAAUGCUAGUCCUCAGCAGGUCCAGAACUCAGGUCUGGUUGUGGGCAUUAGUAAUUUGCCUAGAUCAAGAGACGAGGAAGUUAAUUUUCCAUUUGAAAGUGAAUUUGGAUCUGCACGUGACACUAUGCCAAAAUACUGUGUCGUGUCUCCUAACAUGAGAGAUCGUAACAUCAUUUCUAGGAUAUUUAAAACUACCAAAACUUGUAUAUCUCGGUGCUGUUUGCUUUCUCAAACGGAGUGGGUGGUGCCAAAGAUUCUGCUUGCUCUUGUGAUGGAAGAAAAUCUUUUACUUGUGGAAAAGGUCUGUGUGUUUUUUACAUUGGUGCUGCUCAAUUUGUCCACUGCUGCUCCAAGGAAACUUGGGAACUGUUUGAAUACGGAUUCCAUCCUCUGGUUGGAUUCUUUCUCUGGGCACAUACGUGCAGUGAUGUCUGAUGUGGAGACUAGAAGCAUGCUUGCAGAUUUUGAUUUUUUGGAUGAACUUCUUAGUCUCAUUGAGGAAUUCCUUAUAGACGGAAGAGUUCUGGUGUACACUAUUAUAUCGUCCGAGACAUUUAUCGAAUGUGAUACAAGAAUUAACUUCCUCUUGGAUGGUGUGACUAUUAGUUUGUCAUAUGAAGUUUCUUCUGCUGAUCAUUUGGUGGCUGGGAGCAUUAUAUUAGCAUCAAUAUGUGCAGCAAUAGACCAGAUUGGUUUUAUAUGUGAGGCAUCCUACAACAUCUUUCGGAGGCAUGCUUGUGAUUCUUCAUUGGUGCUUAGUAUUCUUCAUGUUUUUGCUUAUCUGUGUGGAGAAAAGCUUUUCAGCAUCACGAAUUAUGGUUUGAUGGUGACUGUCUUCAAAUCAAUAGUGAUGUUACUUGAGGGAGUAAAUUCUUCAGAUCUUGCUGCUUCUCAUUCUUUAUCUGUAAGCGAGGAUCAAUUUCUUUUCCAUCCAUGCACCAAAUGCCCAUUUUCGAAGGAUGCUGUUUCUAUAGAUACUGUAACAUCAUUGCUCUUGAAAUUCAUCUGGAAUAAUACUGGGUUGGAAACCACAAACUAUGACGUGAUUAAAUCCUUUGAUAUGUUGAAUUCUGAAGUUCUUUAUGACAGUUUUAAAUCUGGAGAAAGUUCAAGCCAUGAAGGGUUUUAUUGUGCCACUGAUAGGAAUUUUGAUGCCUCCUGUUGCUUGGAAAAGUAUGAGAUGCCCACUACUCAAUCACGUUCCAUUUCUAGUAUGCGUCUUUGUCACCUUACUGAUGUUCUAUCGUUGGUGGAGCUGGUUGCAUGCAACACGAGAUGGGACUGGACAAGCAUCAAAAUGAUCCCUCAACUGUUGAAAAUUUUGGAGUUGUGUGUGUUGGAGGACUUUGCUGCUGCUAUUGUUGUUCUCCUUGGACAACUUGGGAGGCUUGGAGUUGAUGCUGGUGGAUAUGAAGAUAAAGGAGUUGAAAAUUUGAGAUGUAAUUUGUAUACUUUUCUGAAUCGUUAUACCAUCUUGAAAGCAGGUCUACACCUUCAAAUAGCCACUGUCACUGCUUUGCUUGGGCUUCUUCCUGAUGAUAUUGAUACACUCAUUCAGAGUAAUGUGAAGAUUCAGGUAACUGCAAGUCAGUCUCUUGUUGCUGAUUCUAUGAGGAAGUGGUUUUCUUUGCUGAGCAAGGAGCAACAGGACUUGUCAGUACGGCUUUUACAAACAGCUGGUGCAAAACAAAAAUAGGAACAGAGGAUCUCUACAGAGUUGAGACUGGGUAUUACUGCUUGGGUAUUCUUACCGGAGUUUGAAGUGGGAAGUUGUGCAAGUUCUUUUAUUCAACUGGAAUUGAAGUAAGAAAUUUUAUCAUUCACCAUUGAGAGCUAGUGUAUAACCAGAAGAUGAAGAUUCUGAUACGGAUUUUGCAAUGGCAUUAUUUACUUGUUUGCUCAUUUGGUGGAGAAGUUUUUGAUCUUUUAGCCACUGUCUACAGUUGCAUUGUUUUGAUGGCAUUGAGAGCUAGCAUAUACGAAGAUUCUGGGACAGAUUAUGCGAGGGCAUAAUUAUUGUUUGCUCAUUUGCUGGAGAAAGUUUAGGCAUUAUGUCUCAACUUACCUGUUUCCCAAUUUGCUUUUACUGUGAAGAUCUUUACUGCAAGCAUUACGGGUUCAUGUGGCAGUGUCUUAUGACUUUUAAGGAUUUUCUGGUUGUCGCUAUCUGUUUUAAAUCAUUUGUGGACAAGUUUUUGGUUCUGGAAAACACUUGCUUCUUCCACCGUUCUUAUGUUGCAUUGAGGGUUCGCCUGAUCUCCUCGAAUAAGGGUAACUUCUUCCUUGAGCAUUUUUUUCUUUCUUCUAUUUCUUCCAAUUGCUUAUAAAUUUCCUGACCUAUGAUGAUUAAGCCUGUUGAAUUGUUGAUCCCUUCCUAGGAUUGGUCUUCAGAAGUAUCAGAAGCUAAAAAUUGACAUCUAAUCAUGUCAUCUAAUUAUCUUUGAACUGUAGCUUUUCACUGAGGUGAUGCACACAUCCACCAAGAUAUUUGGAGGCUUAAUGGAAACUUUGUUUUUUUUUCCCCUUCCACCUCAAAGGUCUUGUAACCCAGCAUGGCAAGAAAUAGUGGCUCUAUUGUUUUUUCAUUUAUAUUCUUUCUCAAAUUGGCACAAGUUACAUUGAAAAGGUCAAAGGGUUACAUAGAGGUCUAAAAUAAGAUGGUAAAUAGUGAAGUGAGAGUAUGCUUAUAUCGGAGCUAGAAGAAGAAAUAUUUAGCAAUCUCAAAUUGUUGAUCAAGGGUUUAUAGAACCGAUCCUGAUUAAUUAGAAAAAUAUUUAGUUGAAUUUUGUUGAAGGGAUGAAUUCAAAAGCCUGGGUUCAAACUUGGGCUAGUUGACAGCCUGGAAUAUUUGUAUUUUGAUUUUCUAUUAGAAACUUGGGUUCAUUCA